GACGAACGCUGGCGGCGUGCUUAACACAUGCAAGUCGAACGAAGAGCGAUGGAAGCUUGCUUCUAUCAAUCUUAGUGGCGAACGGGUGAGUAACGCGUAAUCAACCUGCCCUUCAGAGGGGGACAACAGUUGGAAACGACUGCUAAUACCGCAUACGAUCUAAUCUCGGCAUCGAGGAUGGAUGAAAGGUGGCCUCUAUUUAUAAGCUAUCACUGAAGGAGGGGAUUGCGUCUGAUUAGCUAGUUGGAGGGGUAACGGCCCACCAAGGCGAUGAUCAGUAGCCGGUCUGAGAGGAUGAACGGCCACAUUGGGACUGAGACACGGCCCAGACUCCUACGGGAGGCAGCAGUGGGGAAUCUUCCGCAAUGGACGAAAGUCUGACGGAGCAACGCCGCGUGAGUGAUGACGGCCUUCGGGUUGUAAAGCUCUGUUAAUCGGGACGAAAGGCCUUCUUGCGAAUAGUU
rnacentral:rRNA from 1 species